rnacentral:pre_miRNA from 1 species
ACAACAACAUUCGGACCGUCGGUCUACCGAGCAAUAUCACCCGCUCGGUGGAAGAUCUUCCCUUUGUCGUGUACC